rnacentral:rRNA from 1 species
CCCUUAGAUGUCCUGGGCCGCACGCGCGCAACACUGAGUGUCUGAGAUACGAGUCUGCCUGGUCCGGCAAGGUCUAGGUAAUCGCUAAAAGACACAUCAUGCUUGGGAUAGAUUAUUGCAAAUAUUAAUCUUGAACGAGGAAUUCCUAGUAAGCGCAAGUCAACAGCUUGCGUUGAUUACGUCCCUGCCCUUUGUACACACCGCCCGUCGCUACUACUGAUUGGAUGUUUAAGCGAGGUUCUCGAACUGCUAGCGACUUAGCUUCGGUGAGGUCGCAGUGUGGGAAGUGAACCUAGCUUUGGUGUCUAGAGGAAGUAAAAGUCGUAACA